GAGCUCAGCGCCGUGGAAGGAGUGACGUCGGCGCGGCCGUGAGAGGGCGGUGGGGGGGAGGGAUGCUUACGGGAGGGCUAUUUUUGGGCUGACCCGGGAGGGGGGCGGGGGGGAGGAAGAAAAAGAAGCCAGGGCCGGGGUUCGUCGCGGUGCCGUGAUCCCGAGGACGGGCUGCGUGCCAAGAGGAUGGGGGGGUGGGGGGUAGUGGUCUUCUUGUCAGCUCCGGAGCUGCGGCACCUAUAGGUGCUCAAGGGAUGGCAGGGGGGUAAGGGGGCCCAUCAGCGGGCACGACGCCCCGGGAGGGUGAAGCGAAGGCCGCUCCUCGCCGAGCUGUCGGCGGCCGGCGACGGACGGGCGCUGCGGGCUGUGCUGCCGAGGGAUCGCUUCCUGGACAGCCGGGUCGGCAUCGCCGCGCUCUCGGUGUCCGCGGGGCGGCACUUCUGCUGAGCUGAAUCGCAGGGAUCGGCCACCCCAGGCUGCCCGUGCCGGGCUCCCGCCGCCGGCCCUGGGUACGGAUGCGGGGAUGCUCCCUCCUCGUGGCACCGCCCCUCCCCAGCGGCCUACGGGCACGCUGCCACCGCCGCAUCUCCUUCCCCAGGACACAUCCGCGUCCACGUCCACGUUCCCCCAUCGCCCAGCUCUGGAUAAGGCCAAAGCCGUGGCGGAGAUCCCUGAAGCGUGCAGGGAGGACUCGGCAUCCUCUGUGCUGUCCCAAACAGGCACUGUGCAGGGGAUUCCACACCUUUCGAAGCACGAAUCUAUGGCUGUGUAGAAAUGUGUAGCCCCCCCCCCCCCCCCCCAAAAAAAAAGGAGCAAGGAGACGAAAAUAGCUUUUGAAAUCGUGGAAGAUUGUAAUAGAAGAUAAUGCCCAAGCAGAGGUCCGUCCUGACCCUGUUUCUUGUUCUGCACAGCUCAAAAGAAACGCACUGUGGGCAGCAGCACAGAAGUAGGGUCAAGCAAGCAAGAAGAGUGAGCCAAGGGGUCCUUGGUCCUCCCCUCCCCCCUCCAUCUGCUGCUCCAUUCAUCUGCAAAGCACAAGGAAUCAGGCAAAUCUCUUGCUAUAAACCAGAUUUGCCUUUGUAAGCUUUGAAAUAAACCUAAGGAUUAAAGUCUAAAGACUUUUUUUUUUUUU